rnacentral:lncRNA from 9 species
GAGGAGCUCCGUCCGUGCCUCAUCCCGCCCCCGCCCCAGCCCCAGCCCUCGACUCCCAGCCCCUGUCCAGUCAGGUGAGGCGCCCAGAGUACCUCGUGAGCAGCACCAUCGCCUUGCUGACAGUGACUUGUGUGUCCCCCAGGAACUCACGACGACGAUGUUGUGGAGCCGGUGGGAGUGAGAAGACUGAGGCAAGCCCCGGCUGGGGACAUGAGGACGAGGCGGCCCCAGUACCUGAGGUGGAGGUGGAGGAGGAGGCGGGCCAGCCCCGUGAAAAUGGCCAGGAGGAGUCCUUAGCCAUCGCCUGGGCUGAGCCGGAAGACGAGCCUGGCCCCAAGGUGGACGGGGCGGACGAUGAAAUCUCUUGGAGCUUGGAGAGUGUGUGUGAGAGCGACCUCGCUGACAGCAACCUCGCAGAAAGUGAUCGAGACUCGGUGGCGGAGCGCACCGACUGCCGCCAGGAUGAGGAGGCUGCAGGUAGGGAAGAGCACGCAGCUGGGAUCCAGGGGGAGAGGGUUCCUGGGAGCAGCUGGGUUCCACCUGCUGCCGGGAGAGGGCGGAAGGGGGCUAGGACUUGGGUGGGUGGCCUACUGAGCGGAACUCCGCUGUGGUGUUUUCCCCUCUGAAGUUGCUAAGCCGAAGACGACUUGGGUCCCUGGUCUUUGUUGUGCUGUGUUUGGAUUCGUGUCUCCUUCCUUUGAGAGGGAGAAUGGCUUUUCCCUCCCGAAGCGGCUCCUUCCAGCUCUUGUCUCUGGCCAUGGUGCCAGCUUGCUUUGUGGGUCGCACCCUGAGGGUCCUGUGCACAAGAGCUGUUGACUUAGUUUCCUUUGUUGCCCUUGAGGGCCCUGGUGUGGUGGGACGCAACCCUCUCCUAGGCUCUUGACCCUGGAGACCAAGUUUGCCUAGUGAGUGUCAGGUGGCGGGUGAGAAGGCAGGUCUCUCCCUCUGCACGUUUGGGAUUUCUGGCCUCCCUGUCCUGGUGUGUCCUGGCGGUGUGUCCUGAGGGAAGGGGCGUUCCCAGAGUUGGAUGAGUUGAAGGAGACGCCUUGGAGUAGGCGUGGUUAACGAAUCCGACCUGGAACCAUGAGAUUGCGGGUUCGAUCCCUGGCCUCCUCGCUCAGUGGGUUAAGGAUCCGGUGAUGCCGUGAGCUGUGGUGUAGGUGGCAGAUGGGGCUGGGAUCCUGCCUUGCUGUGGCUCUGGCGUAAGCCGGCAGCUACAGCGCCGAUGAGACCCCUAGCCUGGGAACCUCCAUAUGCCAUGGGUGUGGCCCUAAGGAAGCGACAAGGAUGACAAGAAAAAAAAAAUGGUGAAAUCAGGCAGCACAGCAACAGAGAUAGCGUGCAGUUCAACACAUAGGCGGCAAGUAGACUAGGCAGACUGUCAGAGCUGGAACGGAGAGAUGGCUAAGACCUGGCAGCAGGGCUGAAGGGGGAGUCAGUCACUCCUGCAUGGGUGCAGAGGUCCUGUGAGUCACGACGAGAAAGGUUGAGAAAGGUUGUUAGGGACAGUGGUGCAAAGUACGUAGCAUCGGGAAGGCCUGCUCUCCC